GCUAGGAGAGAACCCCUGGGUGCUUCUGCUUAGUUGCUCCUUAGAUGCUGGUCUUGUGCCUGCCAGGCGGUAGUGCUUGAGCGAAUGCUGUUCAUUUACCCAUUUUCCUUGUGGCUUGCUGUCGGCCAGAUCUAGUUGUUACAACUUCGCUUUACAAUGGGAGUUAACAUUCCUUGUGUUUCGCCCUUUCUAAUUUGUCCAGAAGCUCAGACCCAGAAUUCUUGGGGGAGUUGAGAGCUUUUCCGCCUGUGCCAUUGCGUUCACAGAGGCCAGUGGAAGCAAGAAGUCCGAGAAUGGGUUGCUGUGAGUCAGAACCUACUUGAUUGCACCUCACAACCACCACAGCAAUUGCAAAAGGAGCCCGGGUGGCCUGGUGGGUGACGAACCACAAAGGCAGCACUUGGAAACCACCAGCUACUCCGAGUGAGAAAGAGGAGGCUUUCUGCUGGAGUAAAGAUUGAUAGUCUGGGACGUUUGAACAGAUCACUGAAUCUGAACAGACUGGACGUCACUGAGUUUGGUUUGGUUAUUUUUGAGUGAUUAAAAAUUCCUGAAAAAUUCCAA